UCAGGCCGCUCACGUACGUCUGCGCCAAAGUUCCUUCAUCAGGGGUGCUAUGCAGGAUGCGCCGAGUUUGGCGAAACUCGGGAUCUUCACGAGCUCUGGCGACACCCCAAGAUGAAAGCACGAAUGGUACCGAGACACAGUUUGUCUUUCGACAAGCCUCCAGUUUCAUUGGUUUAUCUAGAUUCACUCUGGCUGGCUAUCAUUCCUUGGGCGUUGCCUUCUGGGCGGUCGACAAACUGGGGCUCACGUGAUCAUACCGUCGGUGCAUGGUCGUGCCUUCUUUCACUUGUUUGUCGUUCCACCGAGUGCAUUACAUGCAGAAGCAAGUUGUAAAACAAAUGCAUUUAGUACAAUAUUAUUAGUUACUUUAACGUGGUUUAGAAGCAUUUUGAAACUUACGAGAUGUGCACUGAAUGCGUCUUAGACUAAUUUGUAAUUUAGUACGCUUCGCAUUACACCACGAGGGAACGCUGUAGUGGCGUCAUCACAUCCAUUCACUGGGCAAGCAUGGCGGCUAAGCAUCAGAGAGGCCCAGUGUAAACAAACCCGUACAACGAGCUUGCAGUGCGCGACGUAGUGAUCAGGCUCGACGAUGGCCACUAUUUCUUGGAUAGUUCUGUUCCUCCGUGGGCAAUCUUCCCGUGCACCCGGUAAGACUGCCAAUAGCUUCGGCGAUUUUACAGAUCGCAACGCGCACCUACUGUUCACGGCGAAGUGCUGAAGAAACAACUUGUCCGGUGCUGCUUCUGCGAGUGCGCCGAGUUCCUCCACUCUGCGUGACUGCGAGCGUCACGAACAUUACAUAGUGUGGGCAAAAGGCAGACAUCCUAUAUAGCUGCGAUGCGAAAAGGAGGUGGUACCGACGAUGGAUCUCGCUACCAACACAGUGAAGGAGACAUCGACAAACUGCAGCAAAACAUUCUGCUGCUGGAGGCACUCAACCGCCUGGUGGCAGUAGGCGAGCGCCAGGCACGUGCUCUUGAGAGUGUGGCAGAGGUCCAGAGGGCUGCUCUGCAACAGUAGUAUUGGUGCCCUCACUGCUCUCCUGUCGAGCCCACAGAAGGCACCUUAUAAAGGAGCUUUCAGUUUAAUAUUUUGUUUAUUAUUCAAGAACAUGAAUAAAAUUAUUGCAGUAAACAUUGUGCUGUGCAUAUUAGGAGACUUGUAACAUGCACUUGGUGUCCCUUCAAAAUAGGCAAAAACGUAAGAAAACCUGUGCCACUCUUGGACCAUGUAAAUAAAAAAUACACCUAUGCAGCAUACA